rnacentral:rRNA from 1 species
CGAGGGUUCCACCUCUUCCCAUUCCGAACAGAGAAGUUAAGCCUCGUCACGCCGAUGGUACUGCGUAACAGUGGGAGUGUAGGUAGCCGCCGUUU